GAGUUUGAUCGUGGCUCAGGACGAACGCUGGCGGCGUGCUUAACACAUGCAAGUCACGGGGGCCCGCAAGGGCAACCGGCGAACGGGUGCGUAACACGUGAGCAAUCUGCCGAUUUCUGGGGGAUAGCCGGCCCAACGGCCGGGUAAUACCGCAUACGCUCAUUUGGGGGAGUCCCCGAGUGAGGAAACCUCCGGGGGAAAUCGAGGAGCUCGCGGCCUAUCAGCUAGUUGGCGGGGUAACGACCCACCAAGGCUCUGACGGGUAGCUGGUCUGAGAGGAUGGCCAGCCACAUUGGGACUGAGAGACGGCCCAGACUCCUACGGGAGGCAGCAGUGGGGAAUCUUGCGCAAUGGGCGAAAGCCUGACGCAGCCAUGCCGCGUGAAUGAUGAAGGUCUUAGGAUUGUAAAAUUCUUUCACCGGGGACGAUAAUGACGGUACCCGGAGAAGAAGCCCCGGCUAACUUCGUGCCAGCAGCCGCAGUAAC
rnacentral:rRNA from 1 species